CGAAAGCCUGACGGAGCAACGCCGCGUGAGGGAUGAAGGCCUCUGGGCUGUAAACCUCUUUUAUCAAGGAAGAAGAUCUGACGGUACUUGAUGAAUAAGCCACGGCUAAUUCCGUGCCAGCAGCCGCGGUAAUACGGGAGUGGCAAGCGUUUAUCGGAAUUAUUGGGCGUAAAGCGUCCGCAGGCGGUUUUGUAAGUCUGUCGUUAAAGCGUGGAGCUUAACUCCAUUUAAGCGAUGGAAACUGCAAGACUAGAGUGUGGUAGGGGCAGAGGGAAUUCCCGGUGUAGCGGUGAAAUGCGUAGAUAUCGGGAAGAACACCAGUGGCGAAGGCGCUCUGCUGGGCCAUAACUGACGCUCAUGGACGAAAGCCAGGGGAGCG
rnacentral:rRNA from 1 species